GGGAAAUCUUACCGGGUCCGGACGUAUCGAGGAUUGACAGAUAGUUAUACAUGCCCUACAAGCAAGUAGGAGUCAGGUUUUAAACCUAAUGGCUCUUUCAUGAUUAUAUGAUAGGUGGUGCAUGGCCGUUCUUAGUUCGUGGAGUGAUCUGUCUGCUUAAUUGCGUUUCAAAUUUUUAACCGAGGACCGGGUUUUGGUUUGGCUAGUGGUCCUACGAUGACUGUGAACUGUCAUGUCUUCGGAUGUACGACUAUCGGUCUAGGAUCACAUGACUUGCCCCUGGGACUCUUUUGAACGCAACGGACGUGAUUGCAACCCCUUGUUGAGAUUAGAGAUAGUCUCGAUAUUCACUGGCCAAACUGGCUGCUUUAUGCAGUCUUGUUGAAUGGUGGAUAAACUCGGGGGACUGCUGACUAUAACCAUUUCUCAAAACAGAGGAAGGUUGCGGCAAUAACAGGUCUGUGAUGCCCUCAGAUGUCCCGGGCUGCACACGUGCUACAAUGAGUGGCGCAAUGUGCUAAUGUUUUAAGGGAUAAGCGUGCGGCCAGUAAACGUCGGCAAUUGCCCUGGCGUCUUCUACCGCACGAUUAUCAGCCUUCCCUUAACAGGGCGGGCAACCUUUUCAAAAUACCGGUUUGAUGUUAAAG
rnacentral:rRNA from 1 species